UCCCUUGGGGUCCAGUGGCUAAGACUCUGCACUCCCAAUGCAGAGGACCCGGGUUCAAUUUCCAGUCAGGGAA
rfam:TPA: Bos taurus chromosome 7, whole genome shotgun sequence.